UGGGGAAUCUUGCGCAAUGGGCGAAAGCCUGACGCAGCGACGCCGCGUGGGUGAUGAAGGCCUUCGGGUUGUAAAGCCCUGUGGGGAGAGACGAAUAAGUCGGAGCCAAUACCUCCGGCGAUGACGGUAUCUCCUUAGCAAGCACCGGCUAACUCUGUGCCAGCAGCCGCGGUAAGACAGAGGGUGCAAACGUUGUUCGGAAUUACUGGGCGUAAAGCGUGUGUAGGCGGUCCUGAAAGUCGGAUGUGAAAGCCCCGGGCUCAACCCGGGAAGUGCACCCGAAACUGUAGGACUUGAGUACCGGAGAGGUUGGUGGAAUUCUCGGUGUAGAGGUGAAAUUCGUAGAUAUCGAGAGGAACACCGGUGGCGAAGGCGGCCAACUGGACGAGUACUGACGCUGAGACACGAAAGCGUGGGGAGCAAACAGGAUUAGAUACCCGGGUAGUCC
rnacentral:rRNA from 1 species